AGACCCUAGGACAUUGUCGUGCGCCGCUGUCUCUCGGUCACCGACGGCCCAGAAAAGCAUAAUCGCUUGCUCCUGAAGCGACCCCAGGUCAGGCGGGACUACCCGCUGAGUUUAAGCAUAUCAAUAAGCGGAGGAAAAGAAACUUACCAGGAUUCCCCUAGUAACGGCGAGCGAACCGGGAAAGGCCCAGA
rnacentral:rRNA from 1 species